AUGAAAUAUAGAUUUACCGGCACUAGCAGACAACAAUUUUGAUAAUGUUUUCGUAGGGUUUGUAAUUGUUUAAUAUUGGCAAUUUGGUAAGCAGCAUCACAUGUUCCACUGAUACACUGAACUCUUGGAAGUUUCAAAUAACAAUCUAUUUGACAAUUGGAGAGACACUGUAGUUUUCAACAAGAACAGGACGUUUUUGGUUUCAUGACUCAUACUCUCUGAUACACCGGUACUAAGUCUGUAUAACCUUUCAAAGUCCUUAACUUAUUAAUCAUUCAUUGGCAUUUACUUGUUCUAGCUUCCUACUCCACCAAGAAUCGGGAUAGACGUUGUAUGAUUUUUUUGUCGUUCUUAAUCUCGCCAUAGUUAGAUGAUAUCCCAGUCACAUGAUCCUAAUUUAUAUGGUAAAAUUUCAUCACUCACGAUAUAAAUUAAAUCCUGAAAGUGCACCUGUGACUGUGUCGUUUCUGAUUAUUGUGCAUCUAAAUUCAAAAUUUGUUGUGAUACCGACUACUUUAUGUCAGAUAUUGUAUUUUCGAUAGUUACACACUUUUGAUAAGAUUAAGUUUUUGAUUUUGAAACAAAUAAUAUAUUAUUAUGUGGAUCAGACUCUUGUCUUGAGACAAUAAAUCUCAGUACUAAUUUGAAUCGUUGUUGAAAUACAGUAAUCAAUAAUUUAGAAAUCAUUAUGAUUUGUACACAUUAUAGUUCAUGGUAGUCUUUUCAAAGAGUUUAGCAGACGUGUGUGAUAAUAAUGACUUGCUCAAAUUGGAUUUUCGAUAAUUAGAGAUUAUUAUCUGCUACUUGUGGAGUCAUCACCCUUGACAUAAAUAAAAUAUUUCCGAAUUAGUUGUUUCACUGUGAAUAGCUAACAUUACACCACUACACCCCAACCUAGAACCUAGUCUUUGUUUGACUACUGCUCUUUCUGAUACCUUGAAUUGGGCAUAUCCAUAGCGGUUUUCUAAUUAUUAUAUGUUAAAUAAUAAAAUUGCAUAUAAGGCUAUGAAAAUAUUGUCCUAUUAUAUCCCCACCAUAAACAGUUGUUGUUUUUUUUUGUAGGAAAACUCAAAAUUAAGUAAUAUAUUUUUACCUGUCCACAUUGUCCAAUUGUAAAAGGUUACCGAUUUUUACAAAAACAACAACCCAAAACUUGUCUGUAUUUUGUUCUUUUUUCUGUCAUGACUAAUCUAAUGUGUUUGUUAAGAGAUGACUCUGAUGAGUGUUUCUAAAGAUAUUGAAUCAAGGCAGAAGAGUGUUGUACAGCAUUGGAAUUAUAGACCCAAUGGUUUAUUGGAGUUAGGAACAGAUUUUUGUAAGAAAAAUGCACAUGUUGAAAAACUAGAUUUAAAAAGAAACCAAUUAAAAACACUGCCAAAAGAAAUUAUCUUAUUAACUUGCCUAGUUGAAUUAUGUGUUUCUGGCAAUGAACUACAAGAAUUACCACCAGAGAUAGGUGGUAUGAAAAACUUGAAGUUUCUGGAUAUCAGUUCAAAUUACAUUGAUUAUUUACCAAAAACUAUAGGUCAACUAAAUAAACUUCAAAAACUUGUAGUUUCUGUCAACAAACUACGUAUACUGCCUAAAGAGAUGGGGGAAUUGGUUUCCCUGAAUACAUUUGAGGCUGUCAGUAACAAUCUACAUGUUUUUCCCUUACAGUUAUGUCAAUGCGCAAAGUUACAGACACUGUGUUUAGACCAUAAUAAGUUAAAAUUUAUACCAAAACAAAUAGUUAAAUUAGAAAGACUAAAAACCUUAUCUAUAAGUGGAAAUAAAUUGUUAUCUCUUCCCCUAGCAUUGUUACAGAUGUCAAGUUUACAAAAUAUGUAUGUAGACAAUAACCCAUCAUUGUUUGUUUUUCCUUUCUGUCAAUCAUCUGGUAAUUUCAGCUCUGGAUCGGAUGUUACACAACCAAUUAGUGAAGAUGAUUUUCUCAAGUUGGUUGCAGUGUGAUAUUGUGACAGGAAUUUAUUAACAUAAUAAAUUCAGAAUACUUUAAAAGUUGAUGUAACCUCAGGAAAGUAAUUUACACAAAGUCUAAACAUAUAGCUUGUUAUAAGAAAAUAUUUCACCAAUUUCUGAUAUAUUCAUUCCCUGUAAUAUUUUCAUUUGCAGAACAAAUUGGCUGUUUAUGUCAUACUUGUAAAGCUGAAUUGCGUCUGUUUUUCUAGAAAACAAUUAUUUUACAGAUAUUGUAGAUUAUACCUGGUCAGAAACAAUAAAUUAGAAAUAAUACAAACAGUAAAUCCAUAUUUAACAUGCCCCAUUAUCUGAGAAUGAUUGACACAGAGUGACCGACCUAGACUGCUUAUGAAAUCUACACUGGAUUGUCUUCAAGAACCACAAUAAUAUCUCCUCUUUUCAAUUCUAUUGGAUGAUAAGGUGCAACGCCAUUGAUUGAUAUAGAAAGUCAAAAGGGUUUAAUAGUGUCGAUUUACUCUAUUUUUAAUCAAGUUCAGAAUUUAAAUGAAGUAAAUCAUUUUAGCUUAGAUUCAUUUAGAUUGAAAAGAGGCCUAUCAAAAUGUUUUACCCAACACUUAUAGGUGGCACUGUUUUAUUUAUAUCAUCUGCAGAGGUUGCCGAAUGUUGUGAAAUAUUUCAUUUUAUCAAUUCAUCAGUAAAUGCUGAAUGGAAUUAUUGAACUGUUUUUGGACUGAUAUUCCACUAUGGACAAUUAUAGUUCCCAAGGGUUAAUUAAAAAUACAUAUAUAUUGGGUGGUCAGCAAACAGGUAGUAAAAGCACUCCAAAAGUUGUGAUUUCAUAUUUUAAAUAAAGAUAACAUUGCUUUGGGCUACUAGAUGUUUAAAGUUGGAAUACUUGCUGUCCUGGAAAUGUUUAUAUUCUAUUUAUUGUGGAAAUUAAAUACUUUAUUAGUAUAAUGAAGACAGUAUGCAAAACCCGAAAUGUACAGGUUAUAGAAAAUAUCUCUUUAAUAAUGACAACCAUUGUGACAAAUAAUAUUUUAAUAUGUUUCUAGAAAAGGUAGACUAAAUAUGGCCUUGCAAGGCUAAAUAUGAUGUAAUUCUGUCACUGGAAUUUGUCAGUACCAGAUAUGAUAAAAUCAAAAACAAACUAUACUUAACAUACCUAUAUUUAUUUCCUGACGGCUACACCUACUUUAAAUAAUUUUCGUCUUCAUCUUGAACUAUGUCUUGAAACAACGUCGUGGGCCAUUGGUGAACAUGGUAAGAUAUGAAAUAACCUAGAUACAAUAUAUUUGAAAUUGUUUGGACAAUUUAACUGCUGAUGGGUGGUUGUGUUGCCUGGCAACCAGUUGUAGCACAAAUUGACCAUUGCAUAUUUCCUUUUCACAUGACAAUAUGGUUGCAAAAACUGUGCCUUUCAAAUCAGGCAGAGAGAGAGGGAAAUUGGAUUUGCAGUCCACUUGACACAAACUAGGUCAUUUUGGGACUAACAUGUGAUUCAGUUUUAUUUCAAUAGGGGUCUUUAGCAGUCAGAGAAAACCCACGAGGUUGGACAGACAACCCUACCCCUUGUCACGUAUAACCAGGGAAUCGAAACCCUGGCACUUGACUCAAUGACAAACCAUAUGAUCAAAUGCACACACAUUAACCAUUCAGCACCCACCCACCCCCAAACCAAGCAAAAAAUUGUCCACCGAUCUGUGUUAAUAUAUUAGAUCUUAUAUAGUGAUAAAGU